rnacentral:lncRNA from 1 species
CAAAAUGCCCACACAAACCAAAUAAUACUGCAGCUGGAGUUAGCCAACCAAAAUGCCCACACAAAUCCAAUAAUGCUGCAACUGAAGUUAACCAACCAAAAUACCCACUCAAAACCAAUAAUAUUGCAUGUGAAGCUUGCCAACCCAAACCCAAUAAUACUGCAAUUGAAGUUUACCAACCCAAAAGCCAACACAGUUCGUUUGGCCAAAAGUUAUCUGAGAUAACAAGCAAGGCUUUCAAAGGGCAGCAUGCCCGUCAUGGAAGCAACCAAACUCAACUUCAAUGCUACAGCCAAACUCAGGUUGAGUCGCAAUGCCACAAUGGCACCAAAACAGACACUCACCACAAUGGCACCAAAGCAGACACUCUCCACUAUGGCACCAAAACAGACACUCACAAUGGCACCAAAACAGACACUCACCACUAUGGCACCAAAAUAGACACUCUCCACAAUGGCACCAAAACAGACACUCACCACUAUGGCCAAACUCAGAUCCAACAAGGCAAAAAACAUGGGGUCUCCAAAACCCAUAUCACAGUUACCAUGGUUCAAACACAAAUCACCCAUACGGACGAGGACUCUUAUCCUUAUGGUACCACUACCUCAUGCUUUGGGCCUCUUGGCAAGAAGAAUGGAGAGCUCAGCAGCAACAACAAUAACAAGGAUAUGAACUUGUUCCGGAGGAUUAAGAAUGGCAUGUCCCGCCAUAACAACAAUGAAGGAGGCAAAAACAGCAGCAACAGCAGCAGCAGCAGUGAUAGUGAAAGUGAUGAUGAGAAGUGUAAAAAGUGCCCACAGACGAAGGUGAUUAUAUGCACUUAAAUGCAGAAGAGUACUCUAGUCUAUCCUAAAAAAUCAUCACAUGGAAAUGAAAAUAUUUUACAUUGAAUGCGUACAUGUUGGUUAGAACAAGAUUUUGUUGAUUUCAUUGAUGACUCUUGACUUCUCUGUUCUUUUAUUGCGCAUGCAGAAAUGAUGAAACGAGAAGCUGCAAACAGGAAGCAACUAAACAAAGCUUGUUCAACGAAAGGAAAUAACAUCUUUACAAAUAAUAAGUGUGUUUAUGGUUUGAUGAUACUGUUUUCGUGCCCAAAUAGUUGGGAGAAAUAAAUUCCAAGGUCACUUGGUUGUGUGUGUCUUGUGAU